GAUAGAGCGAGAAAGGGGGGAAAAUGGCGUCUUGGAAAGCCGGAAUCCCGGAGUAAAUCAAAUUAACACGCAACACCCAGAGCAGUCCCGGCUAAUUUUAGCAGGAUCCAAAAUAAAAUGAAAAGGAAAAAAGGGGGGAGAAGCAGUAGAUCUACAACACAGUCCCAGUCUAACACCAAAUAAGUAGAAAAGAUUUGUGGGUCCAUGAGAUGCACAAGCCCUCACCAGCCCUCAGCAGACUCAGCUCCCUUGCAUUUUCUGGCUCUCCCAGGGUGACAUCCAGCCUCAGCAUCGGGUGACACAAUGCUGCGCUGAUUCAGAGGGAGCAUCCCGAAUGACCUGGCUCUCCAUCCCAAAGGAAAACCAGGCAAGGAAUUCCACGUCUCAAAAACCAGCAGCUGACUGAUUCCCUGUGUUCCAGGGAAAGGGCAGCACAGG